UGAGUCGUAGUGUAGGUGAAACCUAUGGACUAUAUGAUGAUUGUAACCCUAGAGGAUAGGGUAUUCUCGAGACGAGGAUUGGAUCAUGCUCACGGUCUGUUUCUAAAUCUUGUGAUGGAAGCCCCACACAAGUAGUGCGCUCCGGAUGUUGGUCACGUGGGAUCGCCUAUUUCGGGUCCCAAGGGUUUGCCUAUUUAGGCCCCGGCAGACGGUCUCGGUUCGUAGCGUGAGUUGACCCUCCCUACCUUCGAGAUGGCUAGUGAGCAGUAGGCUCCUUCAGGGAAGCCACGAGAUUAAGAAACAAGAAAAUGAACAUGACGACAGGUUAGUUGCUUACCGUUUUAUUGAACAUGUAUUCAUGUAUCUAUGAUUGGGCACAGUAGUGUAGCUUUACUUUCCUGUCUUUACAGCUUUACUUAUAUAUCUAUCUAUCGAUUAUCUACUUGUGCCCGCUUGGACCUAGUGGGGAGAUCGGCGGAGUCGGCGGCCGAACCCACUGGGAACUAAGGAAGUUAGUUCUCACCCUCAUUUUACCACAGGUUCGAGUUCGGGUGCCCCCGGUGAGCGUGAGGAUCGCGGUAAGGCCCCGGCGCUCUAGUCGCACUAGCUACCUCCCUUUUGCAUUAGCUGUCACCCUUUUUGUAUUGAGAGUAGAUGUUGUAUAGGGUGAGGUUUGAGUGAUUGUAUUCAUAUUUUGGAAGGAAGUAAGAGAUGUAAUUGAAUGUGUUAAGUCAGAUGAAUGUAAUAGAUAGAUGUUCCUCUCCUUAUCAUUACUUGUAUGUUCUAUACUUGUAUCUUGCUCUUGGUUGUUUUGCACUAAUUGUGCUCUCGUUGUAGUUAUCGAUUGUGUAUGUAUUCAAGUUAUUUUCCUGGGAACUUGUUGUACACAAUCUCGUUGUUAGCCUUGGGCGGACAGGGGAGGUGCUGUCCGUCCGGCGUCUGUUCGACGUGCCCGGGCCGAGCCAAAUUGGUAGCGGUCGCGGGGCGUGACACUAAUGUUAUACAUUAUCUUGGAUACUCUCUGUUUUGCAGAAAAUCAAGACUUCAAGACUCCUAGUUGCGUCUAAGUCAUAGAGUCUAUGUGAUGCACUGGACCUUUGCAAAUUGAAAGUUUUGAGCAGCCCAAGGAUCUAUCUAAUUUGUAUCUAUCACCUAGAGGGGGGUGAAUAGGUGAAAUAGCCAAAAACUACAAAUCUCAAUGCGAUAAAAAUAAAUGCGGAAAAUAAAAUCACACCGAGAUUUAUGUGGGAAAACUCCAAUUUGGAGAAAAACCCACGGGACCAACAUGCGAAAAAACAAUUCGCUAAGAGAAAAGAUUACAAGGUGAUUACCGACUCCACGGACUCAACCUCUCUUAACCUCCUAUGAAUCUCGUGCAAUCCUCCGGGUUGUCCACGCCCUCACGUUUGAAUCCACGAACGCCACGUCUCGAAUCCACGAAACGCCUCGCACACGUCCGAAUCCACGAACGCCACUCGAAUCCACGAGCCUUUGAUCCGAAUCCUCGAACCGUCGUUAAUCACGCCGAAUCCACGACGCCGUUUAUGAAGAGCAUCAUGAUUAUGGUGACCUUCGCUUAGAGUAUCGUAGAAAACCAAGGAAGAAGACUGCAAGCGAAGACUAGAUCAAAUCGACAUAUAGCGAAUGCGAAACGAUACCUCGAUUUGAUCUAAAGAGGCUAAUUUGUAGAAAAUAGGUUUAGAACGAAAUAUUAGCCUCUAGGGUUCUUUAAUUGUGUAUUCUUAUGAUAGAUCAUCGAUUAGAGAACCCCUAUAGCUUAUAAAAUUUCUUUCCAUAUUCAGCACCUUGUACCGGUACACGGGAAGCUGUCCAGGGUACAGCAUGACGGAAGAUUUUUCUGCGAAGCUUCUGUACCCUGAACAGACUGCAGCUUGUUUCGGAACAAGGCUUGUACCGGUACAACCAUGAUGGUUGUACCGGAACAACCAUCGUAAUUCCCUGCGGCAAUAGCCGUUGUCUGUACCGGUACAGAAAAACCCUUGUACUGGUACAACAAUGCAAUUUUCACUGAAAAUGCAUUGUUUUGAGUUUUACAAGCUCUGAGAAACUUUCUAAUCAAUUACAGCUUAGAAAUUAUGAUUCUAAGAUCUAUAAUUAAGUAUGAAUCACCAUAAACAAGAUUUAAAGCUUACCUAAGCAUCGUGAUUCAAGUUUUGCGUGUUUUGCGUCCUUUCCGAUUCUUCGAAGUCUUGGAUUCUUCGAUCUUCAAUACUCCGCUCCGAACUUCUUCAGGACUCCGACUCGACCCACGAAACUUGCCAACACAUAGGACCUAACAAUCUCCCCCUUCGGCAAUUUCGUGACAAAACACACUCAAAACACAAACAUUACAUUUAAAGGAAAGACGAAGUUCAAUUGUCAUCACCAAAACAAUAAACCUAUCACAUGUAAUCCGAAUACAAAUUAAAACUCAAAAUACAUUCAAAACUCCUAAAACAGAGUCUAUGACUUAGACGCAACUAGGAGUCUUGAAGUCUUGAAAUCCUGCAAAACAUUCCACAAUAAUAUAAAGUUUUACAUUCAAUUGAUUCUUUUACAAUUCUCCCCCUUUGUUCAUCACUUCUCCCUUACAUUCAAUUGAUUCUUUUACCAUUCUCCCCCUUUGUUCAUCACUUCUCCCCCUUUGUUCGUGAACCUGUUCAUCACUUCUCCCCUUUGUUCGUGAACCUGUUCAUAUUGUGAUCUCCCCCUUUUUGUCUGAAAAUUGCCAAAAAGCAUAAAAAGAGAAAAUCCACUAGAAAGAAACAUCAAAGUUAAAAUAUAAAUACAGGCCUAAGAGAGAAAGCAACAAAUACAAGUAGAAGUGUAAACUAAACAUGAAAACAUAAAUCUAAGAUAAAACAUGAAGCUCUAGAAAACAUCACUCUGUGUCCUCGUCGUCGUCAUCCUCUGUGCCAGCACCAGAUCCAGAUGCUCCAGCGUUUGACGCACCUGUCGCAAGAGGAAUGAGUGGAUGUCGGGAAGAUGACCGCUGAUACGUGGCAUAAGAUAGAGUAGGCUCCCAAAUAUCAUCAUGUCGACACCCCAUCUUAUCCAUCAUUCUCUUGAUACUUAAUUCAAACUUCUUGAUGCUUGAUUCAACUUUUCUCCCAAUAUUGUUCACAUUCUUCUUUAAUUUUCGCAAAUCCUCCUUAACUGAUUCCAACGUCGUCGCUCCCUCCGAACUAGAUGAAGUAUCAUAACUUCCUCGAGAUGUAGGCGGAGGAGCAGAACUAGAAGCUGCUCUCGGUGGAGGUGCUGGACUAGAUGCUUCAGGAGGUGGCCCUUUCGUCUGAUGGAAUGACUUGAGAGUGCUAACUGACUUAGCCCAAGUCACUGAGUCAAUAGGCCCAAGGCCAACAUCAUACUUGUCGCAAGAUGUAUCCACUCCAUUGGCUUGAAGAAUCCUCGUAAUCAGAACAGGGAAUGGUAGUAGAUCCCGUCGAGUAGCACCCUGAAUUACGUGAAUCAUCCUUUGCCAGAUCAGAAAUGGAAUGUUGAUGUUCAACCCACGAGCCUGCUCGGGAUAACCAAGUAGAUAUAGCAACACUAAUCUCUCCCAGCGGAUCCUCUUUGUGCCGAUAGUUGGUUGAAUAUUGUAGCUCAUAACCAAGGAUAGCAAGUGAUACUCAGGUAAUAAGUCCUUGGAUUCAAUGUAACCAUGAGUCAUGUACACACUAAUCCCUCAAGAUAUACUUACCUUUCCACGAACGACUUUUACUACUUUGUCCGUGAAAAUAGAAGCUCUGACAACACGCAGUCUCCUCUAAAGGUCAAUGGGGGAUACUAUAACCUCUCUAGAACCCCUACGUACACCUGUGAAGACCAGAAUAGAUAUGAAGUCCUCCUAAAGUUCAUAGUUGAGUGUACUUAUAACAAGAACCUCGAUAUACGUUUCGGCNGGAACAUCCCGAAUCAGGUCAUUGAAGUUCACGAAGCGUUCAGCUAUGCAUGACUUCGACAUAUAUAACCUUUGUCGUGCUGGAGGGACAUCCGCGGCUUGUUUUGUAUGUCCCGCACGCGUACAAGAACCACCGCCAUGAGAUGAUUCGCCCACAACAGCCUUUCCUUUAGCAGCUCGAGUCGCCGCUUCUUCUGUUUCUUCCUGCGAGCUUGCUUGAUACUCCGGAUCUGAACCGGACUCUCCUGUAGCAGCACGGGCUCUCUUUGAGGUCUCUCGGCGACCUCGACCACGUCCACGACCGCUGCCCGCAGCCAUAAGCACCGUCAACACCAAUACGAGGAAAAACGUCAUUUUCCUACACCAAAAAUAGCAUACAUGAACAAAUUUUUGAAAACAUCUGUAAAAAUUAGCAAGUAAAUUUCAAAUAUCCUUAGAAUGCAUACUAAUGCUAUUUCAAACCAAUUCAUGCAAAAAAUUUCAGCAAAAAUCAAAAUUUUUUGAAAAAUCCCGAAACUACAUGCAUAUUAAAGCAUAAAACUUAGAUCAGCGAAAAAAAACUUGCUUUGAUGUUGUUCAAGUAUUCUACAAGCAAGGUAAUGCCCUAAAACACUGAUCUAUAGCAAAAAAUUGCAUCAAAAACGAAUCAAAUUAGAGAUCAAACUAUAUCUCAGAAUUUUCUGAAAAAUAGGCAAAAACGAGGUUGAAUCACGAAGUCCGAGCUAAAUACUUACAAAUCUAAGGGGGAAAGCAGUAGAUCUGGAGGAGGAAGAUCCCAGGAGCUCUCAGGACAAUAAAAAUCGUGAUUUAGUUUCGAUUUGAGGCAAAACGAAGCGCUAUACCCGGUUAUAAGCCGCUCGUGUACAGACCUUGUACCGGUACACGGGUUCUUGUACCGGUACAAGGACCAAAAUGUGAAAAAAAAAAUUUCAAAAAUUAUGCCUUAAAAAUCCAUCAAACUUAAAUUAAUUUCAUACAAAUUAAGGAUUUAACUCCAAAAAUCAUUAUAAGGUGAAAGAUAUGGAUCCCGAGGAUCAAAAAGGUAAGUAACACCUAGAUGGGGGUAAAUAGGUGUAAAAACGGCAAACUCAAAAAUCUCGAUGCAUACAAAACGAAAUAGCGGAAAAUAAAAUAGCACACCGAGAAUUUAAUGUAGGAAAACUCCAAACAGAGUGAAAAACCCACGGGACCGAUCACGUGAAGAAAAUCCACUAAGAAAACUUGAGUACAAGUGAUUUUGACAAAAAUACACAACUCAAUUUACCGAAUUCCCGUUGAUGGUGAUCUUCGCCGGUCCUCGAUCGAUAGGAAUCCUCCAACCGAUCCUGCCGCAACUCCUUGCAGCGUCAACGCCUCAACUCCUCGAAGCGUCCACCGAAUCCUCGGCUUCACGCGAUAUCCACGCGCCGAACCUCCUUCCGGAGCUUGUAGAAUCGAAGAUUUGUGGUGAUUUAAUCUUUGAAUCCCAUAAGCGAUGAGGGUCCGUCUUCUAAUCAAACAUCAACUUGAUUCUCGAAUAAGAUCUCGAGUAAAAUCAAAGAACCAAGUCGAUUGUUGAUUUUUCGAAACUUGUUAUGUGAGUAGAAUCAUUGGAACGGAAAAACAAGUUUCUAGGGUUUAAAAUCAAUAAAUAUUCAAAGCCUUAAAUUUUAAGAUGAUCCCCAUCGCUUAUUUAUAUGUUUAAAAGACUUAGAUGUAGACUAGGAUUGCAAAAAGUCCUUUUUUAAAAACAUGUGUCGUCCUCAGAGACCGGUCUUCUCGAGGAGACCUGUCUGUGAGAGACCGGUCUCUCAAGUAAGAGACCGGUCCCUCGUUGCGUGACAAUAAAUCACAACGUUCGGGAACCGGUCUCUCAUCUCAGGGGACCGGUUGCCUCAACAUUCACGCAGUGAGGACCUUAGGGGAACCAGUCUCUCAACCUCAGGGACCGGUCCCAGAAUACAUAAAAGUUCAGUAAAAUAGUUUUAAAGCAAUCUAAGCCUUCUGAACUUAUUACAACUAAACAUCUUCACCAUAAAUCAUCUAUUCUUCAUACCUGAAGUGCCGAGCUUUCCGAAUGAGUUUUUGUUCUCCAAUUUGAAUUUUUUCUUCAAACAUCCGCGAUCAAUUCUUCAAGACUCCAUUCAACUUUACGAAAUCCGCCAACCUAUAAAAUCCUUAACAAUCUCCCUCUUUGGCGAUUUCGUGACAAAAGAACAUUACAAAGCUCGUACACAACUCAGAAACAAUAAAAAGAAGAUCAUCGCAAUCACCAAACGACAAUCUCCUGCAUGAUCGAUCCAAUAAACAAAAAUUAUAUUUUUCAAACCUUAAUACAGACUCUAUGACUUAGACAUGGAGUCUUGAAGUCUUGAAUAUUCCUGCAAAAACAUUCUUAAAGCACAAUCAAGAUUCAAGCAUACUUAUCAUAAACAAUCAAAGUAACAAGUCAUAGUAGUUCAAUAGUUUAUCCAAGCAAGUCAUAGUUAGUCAUUUACACAACUAAGCUAAAUGCAUCACAAGACAUCAACAUCAUCAUCAUCAUGAGCCAUCAUCAUCUCCCCCUUUUUGUCAGAAAGCGCCAAAAUGACAAAAGGAGGAACCCCACACAGUCAGUCGGAAUCAUCUCCCUGCGGAGGAAGAUCUGAGCUGCAACAUUCUGGUUUAUCAAAAAUGACCUUCAUCAAACGCUUGAUUUUGCCGACAUCCUUCCGUAUAUGAGCUUGAUCUGCAGAAAGUUUUUGAAGCUCCUCAGAUAACCGUUGUUGCUCCCGAUAUACUGACGAAACCGAGACAUCCUUCUCAGAUAUAUCCAUGGAAGGACGGGAAGAAAUAGCAGCAGCAGGAGGUGGAGCAGCAGAAGGUAAAGAAGCACGCUGGGACGGAGUUCGAAGCUGCACAGAGGAUUUCACGAACGUUCUUUCAUUGAUCCUUCCCAAACUAUGCUCAUACGAUGUACAACGAACAUCCACGUCAUGAAGUCACAGAAUCCUCAUGAUAAUUAAUGGAAAUGGCAACCGUUCAUUUUGUCCAGAAGUUUUGAUGUCCAUUGCCAUUCUCCGCGAGAUCAAAAAUGGGAUAUUCAUGUUGAUAUUUUUCGCACUUACAAUAUCAGGCCUAGCCAAUAGAUACAUGUAUAAAAUGCGAUCCCAUCUCAAAAUCUUCGUGUUUGCGAGAGGCAAAAUGUUGUAGCAAACCACGAAGUUCAAGAACCUGUACUGUAAUACACUGGACUUUCGCAAAUUGCAGAGUUCAAGUGGGUGGAAUGAAGUGUGGAAUUAUUCUACAUGUUCUAAUGGACUUGGACAAGUUUUUGAACAAGUUAGAGGAUGAUUGGAAUGUUAAAAGUGAGAAAGUGCAUUGAACUGGCGAAAAUCAGCCUUUUCUGCUUGCUGUACCGAUACAGACAUUACCUUGUACCGGUACAAGCUGGCAGAUUCGUGGCAGCAAGGUUAGUUUUGUAAUUUCACACUUGAUCCCUAUCUAUAUAACCCCUGCACGACCCCAGGAGCUCAGUGGGGUAUGCUGGAGCUCAGAGAAAGGUUCUUCCACCUUCCUCACUCUCUCUAGGGUUUUUCUCUCUCUACAAAGAAUUCGCCGAUUUCGCUCGUUUUCGUCGCAACGUUGGUUCUUCGCUGUUCGCAUGUGUCGCAGGGCCUACGUGGACGUGUGAGGGAGUAUUUUGGAGAGUUUUUCGUAGCUCUGAACCAGUGAGGUGCUGGUUGGAGGCUUGAGAAGGUAUGUGACUCGAGUUUUCCGUUAUCGACGUUCUAUUAGUCGAUUUGAGUAUUGCUUUUGAGUUUCUGCUUCUAGCUGUAUUCUUCUGAGAUUUCAGCAAUUAAAGUUGGAUUAAUUAGCUGUGAAUUAAGCUCCUUAGACUAGGGAUAAGCUUCUUUGAAGGUUAAUUGAGAGGAUUAGCCAUUUAUGAAGCUAAAUCGGAACUAAAUGCAAUUAUUGGAGCGACUUGAUGUAAUUGGGGAUUACUUCUUCGCAGCAGGUCCUCGAGCUUUGUUGAGCUGAACUUGUACUCUUUGAAGCUGGUUUAGAAGGUACUCUAACCUAAGGUAAGUAAGAAUUUUAGUUAGGAAGCUGAAAUUGCAAGAUUCCGACCAUAAUUGCUAUUAUAUGGUGAGUUUGAUGCCGUUUCGAUUUUGUUCGCAGCGUGAGUGCGAUCGAGCCUUGGAUCAUCGUUAGUUGACUCGUGAGAGCUCUUGGAGACUUAUCUUGAGGUAUUACAUUAGUCCCAAAACAGGGAUUUAAGGGGUUACUUUGUACUAAGUGUAAUUUAGGCCGAAAUCGGAUAUUCCGGUCGUUCUUUUGACGCGGUGUUAAUGUUUGUUUUCAGCAGGAUUGGAGCCGACUUUUUACGACUUCUUGUGAUUAUUGGGAGCAUAGUACUAGGUGGGUUUGACCUAACCAGAGCAAGUGAAGCUCCCCUAUGUUCUAUAUGUAUUAUAGACGUGGUUUAAUUAUAUGCCUAUGUGAUUGUUAAAGGACUCGGAAUUCGUCAUCAUAACGUUUAUCAUAUGUGAAAUGAGCGUUCAUGCAUAAAAGUACUCAUGCAUUAAAGUAUUCUUGUUUAGUUCAGUAGAACAACCAGGAGAUCAGUUUAUUAUGUUUCUAUGAUAUAGAGAACAUAUAUACAUGAAAAUAUUUCUAUUUAUAUUCAAUACAGUUGAAUGGCUUAUGAACAAGUGUAGGAUGCACUUUAAAGUAGAGAACAAUGACAUUCUCCUGACUUUAACGUAGAGAACUAUGACAUGCUCAUGACUAUGUUGAUAGUGCCAUACUAGUGGAAACAUUAUAAUGCUAUGUGAUUUAGCUUUACCCUUAUAUGUUUACAAUCUAGUGGAUACUAGCUUUUGUUACUAUUUGUGUAUUGACAUUCCGAUCAGAGGAUCGAGGGUAUGAACUUUGCAAGUGAAAAUAUGAAAAUUGAGACAUGUGGAUAAUGGACUUUGCUUGCUUGCCAUCGUGCUCAUUCGCACACGCUUGUGAGGGUAGCUCCCUACAAGCCGGCACUCCGGAGUUGGCCUACGCGACAGUUGCUCGCCGUGCGGGAUUGGGUGCCGAAGUGGAUUGCCGUGGGGAGUGUAUACUACCACGGGGCCAUUAGACGCGGCGCAAGCUGGACUACCUUGAGUAGGUCCUAGUGAAUGAAAAUGAAAGUGGAAACGAUAAUGAUAGUAAUGAAUGAGUAUCAGUUGUAAUGUACAGUAGUACUUAGUACUUCUACGAUUAUGUUUAUGUUCAUGUUUAUAGUAGUUUCGAUACUUCUAUUAUUCAGUUGAUUCAUUACUGCAGAAAUCAUGUUUACAUGUUGAAUACAUGCCUGUUACUGGUUAGCACUGCAUAUUUCUAUAUCAUGCAUUUAUCGCUUUUACUUACUUUCAAUACAUCAUGAGCCUAGUGGUGUAAUUCGCCGAGGCUGGCGGCUUACCCACUGGGAAUUAUUGUUAAUAGUUCUCACGCCCUUUUGGUGGUUGUUUUUACAGAGCCAUCUGCAGGAGAGACUAGGGAUCGUGGCAAGGGAGUCGCGUCUAGCUAGACAUUGCUAGGAGCAUGCUAGUCGAUCACCUUGCUACUCGUACUACGACCGAGGGUGAUGUCCCUUUGUAUAGAGAAACCACCAUUGUACCUAUCCUAUUUUUGUAUACUCGUGAUGUAUAUGUACUACUUGGACCGUGAACUACAGUUGUGAUACUUCUCUUCUGUCGAGAUUUUGGAUUGUAUUUUUCUUUGUUCUUUUACUGAUAGUAUAUCGACUUGUACAUUGCUCUGAUAUCAGGAUAGGACUUUCUUUGUUUCACUUCCUAUCAACUUGCUUUCUUCGUAGACGCCUUAUAUACUGCAGGUGUAUGGCGGGUCUGUGCACGUGCCGGAUAUGCUUCCGCUGGUACCCGGGCGUGACAUGUACUCCAUCUUGAAAUCCUUGGAUAAAAUCAUAAUUCCGUUGGACUCUGUUCCCAGCAUGCAAAUAGAGUUCACGACACGGUUCCAAUCGCGAAGUGAGUCAAACCCGGCCUGUAGAUAUUCCACUCCCUCAGUUCUUGCUUCCAUUCCUAGCACAGACGCUAUCGUAUCGGGAGUGAUUGAUAACUCAACACCACGUACGGAAGUGGUGAAUACGUACGGGCCCCCAUCGGAGUCACUCAAGUGACCUGCUCUCAUAUAGAAUUCUCUAAUCAACCCCAAACAGAACGCAGUUUGUUCCGGAAAAUCACAAAUUUGAUGAAGAUUUCCUUUUUCAAAUAAAUCCUAAAAUCCUGUCACACAGUCAACGAUACUGGCGACGCCAACAUCGUGCUCACCAAUACAAUGUUUCGACGAGUACAUUGACCUUCGAGCUGACGGAACAUCCUGUAGACUGAGACGCGGAGGCUCAGAACCUGAUUCUCUAAUUUCAACACCCCCAGACUUCCGACGACCAGUAUAUCCAGAUGCCUUUCCUUUUCCUUUAUCCUUUGCUUUGCCUUUCCCUUUAUCAAUGGCUUUUCCUUUGCCCUUUCCUUUUCUUGUAUCCUUUUCCUUAGCCAACAUCUUUGGAGUAAAAGCCUCCCAGUCCGGCUCGUCCUCCUCAGAUUCAUCGCCAGGAACAUAUUCGCUCCCUUCAUCCUCCGGUUGUUGCUCAACCGGCCGUUUACCCGAAGAGCGCUGUCGUUUACUUCCGCGACCACCCCCGGCCAUCAGGACCACAAGCACAAGUAACCAUGAAUACAUUUUGAAGGAAUCCCCUGUUAAACAUAAUGAUAUUUUACAAAUGAAACAUAAGAACACUUUAUUUUUGAUUCCAAAAAUUUUCAGCAAAUUGAUAUAUAAAUACUAGAUAAUCCUAGGGGCCACAAAACAUGAGAAGCAUGAACAACUUAAGCAACAAAGAUCAGUAAAACCACAUGAUCCCAAAAAUUCUAAAAAAAAACUGGGUUUUGAUGAUGAAAAAUCUACAAGAAUGGACCAAAAAGAUGAAGAAAUACAAGAGAAUAUGGAAACAGCAGGUCUAAGAACAAGAUCAAAGCACAUUAAGGCAGAUUUAGCUAGAUCUUUAGAAGAAACACCAAAAAAUCUGAAACACAACUCAUUUUCGGAGUAUAUGAUGAAAAUGCAACAAAAUUCGAAAAUCAUACCUAAAAUCAGUGCAAAUCCACGAGGAACGUGAGGAAAUACCGAUCUGGAGACAAGGAAAGAGCAAGAGAGAAAAUAGGGAAAAGAUUAAAACGCGUACAAAGCACAUCGAACGAAAACCCCUUUAUCGGGUCGGGCGGAGGGACCGGUCUCUCCAGCCUCGGAUCGGUCCCAGAGCCUGGAACUUAAAAAAAAUUUGAAAUAAGCUCGAAAAUUCUAGAAAAAAUAUAUGUUAUCCCUUAAUGUUUAAUCAACAAAAAUAACCAAUUUCCAACCAAAAACUUCAAAUAAAAUUUCAUAAAUAAAUUUUGAAAAAUCAAUUUCAAGGAUAUUCAAAUUGUCAAAAAUUGUUGACCCGAAAAUUAAUGAAAAAUUCUAGAUACAUAUAAAAUAAAAUCCCACACAUCAUGCAAGAUCUAGGAAUUUAUUGUAUUAUUUUAUCAUCAUAUUUGUUAAAGAAAAUAUAUAAAUAAUUCUUAGAAUCGUGAAAUUAAAAUAAUAUGUUCAAAUUGAGUUAUGCACAAUAUUCGAGACAAGAGUGGCUCUUUGAGCAUCUUUUUAUUAACAUUCCACCUUAUAUCACCUUCGAGAUGUAUAGCUCUUUGAGCAAAUUUUUUUCUUCUCUGAAAAGUAUUUUCCUUUUGUUUUAUAGAGUUACUUUAAUCAACAUGUGGUAACUGCACACACUGACCGGACGACCGGGGUGGUAGCUCUUUCCUCCAUGUGGUGGUAGUUUUCACACUCCCAGCAGGGAUGUAACUCUUUCCACAUCUUGAAUUUCAGAAAUUUUAUAACCAAAAUCGGAAAGACUCCCCCUAAAUUAGUCCAACUCUCAAGUUAAAAAUAUUAUUGCAAUUUCAAAAGCAGAGAAUGAUUUAUUCAUCUCAUAACUAAUAAUCAAACAAAUAAUUGCAACAUUCAAAGUUCAAAUCAUGAGGUGUUGAAUUUGAUUCAGCAUGCUAAACAGAAUUUCAAUAAUUUAAUCGUUCAAAAAUGAUGACAAUAGAGAAUAGCAUUGAUAUUGACCAAUCAAAAACUAAAAGUUUUGAGGAGCCCAAGGAUCUAUCUAGAUUGUAUCUAUCACCUAAAGGGGGGUGAUUAGGUAAAAUAGCCAAAAAACCACAAAUCUCAAUGCGAUAAAAAUAAAUGCGGAAAAUAAAAAUCACACCGAGAUUUACGUGGGAAAACUCCAACUUGGAGAAAAACCCACGGGACCAACACGCGAAAAAAUAAUUCACUAAGAGAAAAGAUUACAAGGUGAUUACCGACUCCACGGACUCAACCUCUCUUAACCUUCUAUAAAUCUCGCGCAAUCCUCCGGGUUGUCCACGCUCUCAUGUUCGAAUCCACGAACGCCUCGCACACGUCCGAAUCCACGAACGCCACUCGAAUCCACGAGCCCACGAUCCGAAUCCACGAACCGCCGUCAAACACGCCGAAUCCACGACGCCAUCGUGAAGAACAUCAUGUG
rnacentral:lncRNA from 1 species